CAUGGCAAGAUAUGGGGACACCAUAAUGGAUAUAAAACAGGAUUGUUACCAGUAACUACAGUAACUUGGUAACUAAUUUUCAUCACAAAUGAUAUGCACUUCAAACUUGCCCAGCUUGCAUGAACUACCAACUGUACCAGGUACAUGAUUUCUGGACUGUGAUUAUAAUGACUUUCAGUGGUAACACAAGGAACUGUGGUGUUAAGUAAUUAAUGUCUGGUCACUGAAUGACUACAAAUAACUAUUAUUUGCAAUAAAAGGAAAGUAGCAAACGUAGAUAGUUAAGAUGAUUCUUAAAUGUGGUAGCUAAGCUAAAAUGGUAACAGUGGCUGGUAACUAGGUAACUGUGGUAACCAAGUUAUAUAUAGGUAACAGUGGCUGGUAACUUGGUAACUGUGGUAACCAAGUUAUAUAUAGGUAACAGUGGCUGGUAACUUGGUAACUGAGGUAACUGU
rnacentral:lncRNA from 1 species